AUGGCUGCUGUUAAACAUGAGGAGGUAGACACAGCCAAUGAUACCAGCGGUUGCCAAAUUACCCAUGACGAACCACUAUGUCGGAAGCACAAUAAGCGAUACAAGUAUAUUUAUCGCCCAUGCAAAGCAAGCUCAAUCCAAAAGUUCAAAGGCAAGAAAAUCCAUCUAAAGCCUGGAAAGUCCAUUCUCCGUGGUGAGCCUUGCAAUCACUACUUAGAUGAGUUUAGUCGCCACGUUGUGUGGGGCAACACAGUUAGGCUCUACAACCAUAAUGUUCGUGCACUACGAAAGAUCAUCCGCAGCACCACCACGCCUAAUAACUACUAUUACUUUAAUGUCCAUUUUUCUACGGGUUCCCUUUUCCCACACAUGGAUGCUGACCACGGUGAACUUUCAAUCACAACUGGAGAUGGAACAACCACCGUCACAGCCUGCUUUAUCAAGGGAGUUGCCAAAAAGGCCACCAUCACUAAAGGCUGGAGCGACUUCUUCCAUCGGACCCACAUGAACGAAGGGCAAGCAUAUGCUUUCGGCUUCAAAUGCACUUCCAAGGGAUUGCGCCUGAUUGUCUACUCAAUAUAA
rnacentral:rRNA from 1 species